UGUAUCAGGUAUCUCUCUUGAGAUCACACCUUCCCUGGCCAUCAAUGGACCCACCACGGAACUAUCCUGCCUGGGGUGUUUCAGAAGGAACUGCAAAUGCUGGAAAAUCGAAGAGAUGCUGGCUGACCCGCUGAGUCACUCCAGGGUUUGGUGUCUGUCUUCGGUUUACAACCAGCAUAUGCAGUUCCUCCCGAUGCACUCAAGAAUUCAAUAUGUGUUAUUGUAUCAAAGGGUGGUACAGUACUGUGAAUAAGGUCUCCCCUUGGUCUCAGGAGUUCCAGAGAAAACAAUCCAAGUUUGUCCAAAAGGACACAGAGUGCUGGAGUAAAUCAGCCGGUCAUGCAGCGUCCAUGGAGAACAAGGAGAAGCGACAUUUCGGGUUGAGACUGAAGAAGGGCAGCUGGAGCACACAUUCUGCCCCUCCACAUCUUUCCUGGAAUGGGGCCACCUGAACUGCACACAAAUGAAGCCAUUUUAAGGUUUUAUUUCAAAUUACCUGUUUGAACAAGCAUUUCAUCGUUUGUGCAAUGUCAAAUGUUGAGUGAUAGUGUUUGUGUAAAAUGCCGUGUGAAAAUUUACUGCUUAUAAGUUGCUGCAUCUCUGCAGGCUGCUGUUGUGCAGCUUCUGACUUUGUUAUAAUCAUAUUGCUACCCUUCAACAAUUGCAACCCUAAAUCAACUGGCUACUGUUUGUGGCUAAACGUGUUUUAUCUGUUUGAAAAGUAAACAUGAAUUUGUUUUUAACCAAACCACACACUGAGAAAAUGGAAUCGUUUCCUGAGCCACAAGAGACUGCAGAUGCUGGAUUCUUGUGCAAAGAACAAAGUGGUGGAGAAAUUCAGCAGGUCAGGCAGCAUCCGUCGAAGGAAAUGGACAGGCGUCGUUACGGGUCGAGACCUUUUAGCUUAGUUUAGAGAUACAGUGUGGAUACAGGCCCUUCGGCCUAUCGAGUCCAGACCGACCAACGAUAACCCCGUACACUAACACCAUCCUACACACUAAGGACAGUUUUUACAAUUUACCAAAGCCAAUUAACCUACAAAUCUGGAUGUCUUUGGAGUGCGGGAGGAAACCGGAAUGCUCGAGAGAAAACGCAGUCACGGGGAGAACGUACAAACUCCAUACAGACAGCACCCGUAGUCAGGAUCGAACUCAGGUCUCUGGUGCUGUAAAGCAGUAACUCUGCUGCUGCUCCAGUGCCAUCAAGGGGAGGGAUGCAUUGUUCUUUGUUUUUUUUACAGAUUUGGGGACCUGGAAUGCUGUAAAAUUGCAGACUUUUACAUCUCAAUGUCUUUAUGUGAUGGGAGUGUGAAGCACAAGGAAUAAGCAACUCCCAUCAUGCAUUCAUGCAUUUCUGAUUGUCUAAUCUUACAUUGUCUUUUAUUGGCGGCUUGAAAUGCCCCAAUACAAAUAGUAAAACUUCUCAAGCGCUGCUUUAGUUUAGUUUAGGGAUACAGGCCCUUCGGCCCAUCGAGUCCACGCUGACCAGCAAUCCCCGUACAGCAGCACUUUCCUACGCACAGGGGACAUGUACCAACUUUUACCAAAGCCAAUUAACCUGCAAACCUGUAUGUCUUUGGAGUGUAUGUGGAAACCGGAGCACCCGGGGAAAACUCACAUGGUCAAGGGGAGAACGUACAAACUCCGUACAGACAGCACUUCCAGUCGUAAUCGAGCCCGGGUUUCUGGCGCUGUAAGGCAGCAACUCUACCGCUGCGGCACCGUGUCAACCUUCUUAGACAUGAGGGCAUGAGGCCUUGGCCUCCACACACUGACAUGGGAAUACUAAUGGAUGAGUGCCAAUUGUCUCAGAUGUAAUUUGAUAUUGAUGAGCUUGUGUUGUUUCUCCCUUUCUCCCUCCGAAAAACAGAUAUUUUACUCGCGGUUGGAAGGACAUGAUGAGACCUUUGCUGAAGAAUGUAUAGUUUGACAUCCUAAAACACAUCUGGCAGUGAACAAUAAAUAUGCCCAAAUACAUGAUUGAAUAUUACAAAUGAAUGCAAAUAGGUGAAAUCUGAAUCUUAUAUGAUUUGGAAGGGCGUGUAAAUCCAUGAUGCUGGGAGUUAGAUUACAUCAUCCGGAGCAGCGCUGUGGUGCAGCUGGUGGAGUUGCUGCCUAACAGCGCCAGGGACCCGGGUUCGAACCUGACCUCAGCUGCUGUCAUGUGGAGUUUGCACAUUCUCUCCGUGACUGCAUGGGUUUCCUCCCACAUCCCAAAGCCGAAUGUGUUUCUAGGUGAAUUGGCCUCCGUAAAUUGCCCUUGAUGUAUAGGGAGUGGAUGGGAAAACGGGAUAACAUAGAACUAGUGUGAUCGAUGGUCAGUGUGGACUCAGUGGGCCGAAGGGCCUGUUUCCAUGCUGCAUCUCCAAAAUAAUAUAUUUUUUAAAUCAGACGCGGAAUUUUUGAUUGGUUGGCAUGUGCUAUGUAAUCAUUUCCAGAUCAAUGGAUUAUGUGAGCCACUCUCUCUCCCUCUAUAACUUUUGUUUCUUCUCUGAAGCCCUGGAAAAAAGCAUCAAUAUUUCGUUCCUGUGCUUCCCCCUCAUCACUCACUGUUAAAACCCUUUUAAUUGAUUUCUGACUCACCAGUUGCAUUUAC